rnacentral:rRNA from 1 species
UACGUAGGGUGCGAGCGUUAAUCGGAAUUACUGGGCGUAAAGCGUGCGCAGGCGGUUUUGUAAGCCAGAUGUGAAAUCCCCGGGCUUAACCUGGGAAUGGCAUUUGGGACUGCAAGGCUCGAGUGCGGCAGAGGAGACUGGAAUUCCUGGUGUAGCAGUGAAAUGCGUAGAUAUCAGGAGGAACACCGAUGGCGAAGGCAGGUCUCUGGGCUGACACUGACGCUCAUG